rnacentral:rRNA from 1 species
AUUGAACGCUGGCGGCAUGCUUUACACAUGCAAGUCGAACGGUAACAGGCCUUCGGUGCUGACGAGUGGCGAACGGGUGAGUAAUGCAUCGGAACGUGCCCAAUCGUGGGGGAGUAACGUAGCGAAAGUUACGCUAAUACCGCAUAAGCCCUGAGGGGGAAAGCAGGGGAGUCGCAAGACCUUGCGCGAAUGGAGCGGCCGAUGUCAGAUUAGCUAGUUGGUGGGGUAAAGGCCGUACCAAGGCGACGAUCUGUAGCGGGUCGUGAGAGGAUGAUCCGCCACACUGGGACUGAGACACGGCCCCAGGACUCCUACGGGAGGCAGGCUAGUGGGGAAUUUUGGGACAAAUGGGCGCAAGCCUGAUCCAGCCAUGCCGCGUGCGGACGAAGGCCU